CACGUAGGGCGCAAGCGUUGUCCGGAAUUAUUGGGCGUAAAGAGCUCGUAGGCGGUCUGUUGCGUCCGCUGUGAAAACUCGGGGCUUAACCCCGAGCCUGCAGUGGAUACGGGCAGACUAGAGGUAGGUAGGGGAGAAUGGAAUUCCCAGUGUAGAGGUGAAAUUCGUAGAGAUCCGGAGGAACACCAGUGGCGAAGGCGACACGCUGGGCCGUACCUGACACUGAGGAGCGAAAGCGUGGGGAGCGAACAGG
rnacentral:rRNA from 1 species